rnacentral:misc_RNA from 1 species
GAUGAAGAACGUAGCGAAAUGCGAUAAGUAAUGUGAAUUGCAGAAUUCAGUGAAUCAUCGAAUCUUUGAACGCACAUUGCGCCCGCCAGUAUUCUGGCGGGCAUGCCUGUUCGAGCGUCAUUUCAACCAUCAAGCCCCCGGCUUGUGUUGGGGACCUGCGGCUGCCGCAGGCCCUGAAAAGCAGUGGCGGGCUCGCUGUCACACCGAGCGUAGUAGCAUACAUCUCGCUCUGGGCGUGCUGCGGGUUCCGGCCGUUAAACCCCCUUCAUAACCCAAGGUUGACCUCGGAUCAGGUAGGAAGACCCGCUGAACUUAAGCAUAUCAAUAAGCGGAGGA